GUGCUUGCUUCAACGGCACAUAUACUAAAGUUGGAAUGAUAACAGAGAUUAGCAUGGCCUCUGUGUGAAGAUGGCAUGCAAAUUCAUAAAGUGUUUAAUAUUUUA
ensembl:snRNA U6 U6 spliceosomal RNA